rnacentral:rRNA from 1 species
GCAGACUCGGGUGCAGAGGGGGGGGUAGUGCGUGGGGGGGAAGAGUGGGCCGGUUUUAGUGGGCGGAAAGAGCGUGUAGGCGGACAAGCAGGUCCGCUGUGAAAACUCGGGGCUCAACCGCGAGAGGGCGGUGGAAAGCGUUUGGCUAGAGUCCGGAAGAGGAGAGUGGAAUUCGCGGUGUAGCGGUGAAAUGCGCAGAUAUCGGGAAGAACACCCGUGGCGAAGGCGGCUCUCUGGGACGGUACUGACGCUGAGACGCGAAAGCGUGGGGAGCGAACAGGAUUAGAUACCCCUGUAGUC